GAUCAGCCAUGCUUGGUACCAUGAAGAAUGACGCAGGACGCUGGUAAAUUCCGGCUGCUGUCAAUGAUCCAAGCUAAAAAGCUGCCCAUAAUCCUUCCUGAAAACCCAAAAAGGGGACAACGGUCAAUCGCUGUCACAUCCUGAGAGGAAGCCAGAGGGGAAAUUGACCGUGUUUUUUCUUUUUUCUUUUUUUGAAACAACACCAAAGUCACCACUAACGUGUUGACUCAGUGCAAAGGAAGACAAGAUAAGAAGCAGUUGCAGCUACAAAAGGGCUGAAGUCAAAGGUGUCCAGCUAACCUUGAGCACACCUAAGUUGGAACAACCGAGUGUGACACCAGCACAAAAACAGAAAGGAAAUAAUGUCUGGAUCCUCAGUUGAUCUCAUAACUUUGGUGAACUUCAACCGGAAAAGUGAUAUCAGUGCAGAGGAAUGUCUGACAACAACAAGAGGAAACAUUGAAUUCACACGCAGUCAGCUCAAAGCUUCUUACAGUCAUACACAAGCAUUUACUGUAUAUGAAAAGCAAAUCUGAAUUUAGUGUCUCAGUCAAGGAAACCUGAAUGCAUGGACAGGAGGAGCAUGCGAUUAAAAUCAACACCAGCAGUAUCUUUUUCUGUGUUUUUAAUGAAGAGCUGUUUCUGUAUUAAGAUAAUGAUUAAAAGUUCACACUUUUUAAUCAGUGAUGAGUUGGUUU